rnacentral:sRNA from 2 species
GCCGCCGUCAUUGGGGAGUAGCCGCCUCCGCGUCGUCAGCGCGAUCGGGAGGAGCCCACGUCAACAAACUCGGUCGAAGACCGUGGCGUGUGCGGGAUGUCCAGGCGAGACCUUUGACUCUGUCAUCCAGCAGCCGGGCCGGCGAUGGAAGGCAGGGUCAAUGGUGUCCACGCUCGCCGGCCCCAGGAAAU